UACGUAGGGUGCAAGCGUUGUCCGGAAUUAUUGGGCGUAAAGAGCUCGUAGGCGGUUUGUCGCGUCUGCUGUGAAAACCCGAGGCUCAACCUCGGGCCUGCAGUGGGUACGGGCAGACUAGAGGUAUGCAGGGGAGACGGAAUUCCUGGUGUAGCGGUGAAAUGCGCAGAUAUCAGGAGGAACACCGAUGGCGAAGGCGGUUCGUCUGGGCAUGAUCUGACGCUGAGGAGCGAAAGUGUGGGGAGCGAACAGG
rnacentral:rRNA from 1 species